rnacentral:rRNA from 1 species
UACGGAGGAUCCAAGCGUUAUCCGGAUUUAUUGGGUUUAAAGGGUGCGUAGGCGGCUUAUUAAGUCAGGGGUGAAAGACGGUGGCUCAACCAUCGCAGUGCCUUUGAUACUGAUGAGCUUGAAUCUACCUGAGGUAGGCGGAAUGUGACAAGUAGCGGUGAAAUGCAUAGAUAUGUCACAGAACACCAAUUGCGAAGGCGGCUUACUAAGGUGGUAUUGACGCUGAGGCACGAAAGCGUGGGGAUCAAACAGGAUUAGAACCGUACC